GGAGUGGUAGUUCAGUUGGUUAGAAUAUCGGCCUGUCACGCCGGAGGUCGCGGGUUCGAGUCCCGUCCACUCCG
rnacentral:tRNA from 1 species